AUUUCGUUGCAGUGAUACUUUUAACGUUAGUGUAUAGCCAGUGGACAUGGUUGUGAUUAUGGUGUUCAGUUGAACCUGUCUUAGCGGCCACCUGUAUAAAGCAGUCACUUGUUUCGAACAGUGAAAGUGGUUAAGAGUGUGGUUAUGUGGUAAUGCUUUUCAUAGUGAAAGUGGUGGUAUGUGUGGUAACGGUUUUCAUAGUGAAAGUGGUGGUAUGUGUGGUUAUGGUUUUCAUAGUGAAAGUGGUGGUAUUUGUGGUUAUGGUUUUCAUAGUGAAAGUGAGGGUAUGUGUGGUAAUGGUUUUCAUAGUGAAAGUGAUGGUAUGUGUGGUAAUGGUUUUCAUAGUGAAAGUGGUGGUAUGUGUGGUUAUGGUUUUCAUAGUGAAAGUGAUGGUAUAUGUGGUAAUGGUUUUCAUAGUGAAAGUGGUGGUAUGUGUGGUUAUGGUUUUCAUAGUGAAAGUGGUGGUAUUUGUGGUUAUGGUUUUCAUAGUGAAAGUGAGGGUAUGUGUGGUUAUGGUUUUCAUAGUGAAAGUGGUGGUAUGUGUGGUUAUGGUUUUCAUAGUGAAAGUGAUGGUAUAUGCGGUAAUGGUUUUCAUAGUGAAAGUGGUGGUAUGUGUGGUAAUGGUUUUCAGAGUGAAGUGGUGGUAUGAGUGAUAACGGUGUGGUAAUGGUUUUCAUAGUGAAAGUGAUGGUAUGUGUGGUAAUGGUUUUCAUAGUGAAAGUGAUGGUAUGUUCAGUAAUGGUUUUCAUAGUGAAAGUGUGGUAUGAGUGAUAACGGUGCGGUAAUGGUUUUCAUUGUGAAAGUGUGGUAAUGGUUUUCAUAAUGAAAGUGAUGGUAUAUGUGGUAAUGGUUUUCAUAGUGAAAGUAAUGGUAUACGUGGUAAUGGUUUUCAUAGUGAAAGUGAUGGUAUGUGUGGUAAUGGUUUUCAUAGUGAAAGUAAUGGUAUACGUGGUAAUGGUUUUCAUAGUGAAAGUGCUGGUAUAUGUGGUAAUGGUUUUCAUAGUGAAAGUAAUGGUAUACGUGGUAAUGGUUUUCAUAGUGAAAGUAAUGGUAUAUGUGGUAAUGGUUUUCAUAGUGAAAUAAUGGUAUAUGUGGUAAUGGUUUUCUUAGUGAAAGUAAUGGUAUAUGUGGUAAUGGUUUUCAUAGUGAAAGUGAUGGUAUGUUAGGUAAUGGUUUAAAUAGUGAAAGUGGUGGUAUGAGUGAUAACGGUGCGGUAAUGGUUUUCAUAGUGAAAGUGUAGUAAAGGUUUUUAUAGUGAAAGUGAUGGUAUGUGUGGUAAUGGUUUUCAUAGUGAAAGUAAUGGUAUAUGUGGUAAUGGUUUUCAUAGUGAAAGUAAUUGUAUAUGUCGUAAUGGUUUUCAUAGUGAAAGUGGUGGUAUGUGUGGUAAUGGUUUUCAUAGUGAAAGUAAUGGUAUAUGUGGUUAUGGUUUUCAUAGUGAAAGUAAUGGUAUAUGUUGUAAUGGUUUUCAUAGUGAAAGUGGUCGUUUAUGUGACAGUGACAACGUAAAGCAGGGGUAGCAGAACAGCUUUAUUGAAUUUUGAAUGUCUUAUCAAAAACAAUGUGUAAACUUAUAAAAAUAUAUAAUAUGCUUGUGUUGGGAGUCAGUCAAAUUUUCACGUUGGAUAACUAUCUUUAAAAAUAGCAUAGUAGAUGAUGGUUCAAAUGCAUAGGAGCUGCAUGGGACAAGGUUUUGGUGAAAUCACUUUUCCAGACUUUCUGUCCAUAAUGGCGAAGAAAUUAAAAGAAUAUGAAGGCGAGGAAUCCUUACGAUUGGCAUUCCGAGUGUUUGACAAAGACGAUAACGGAACGGU